GUUGGGCUGGUGGUGGGGGUAUGUCGUCUAGGCUGACUUUUGACUUUCGCCCCCGUUCUGCAGACUUGCUUUUGGAAGAGUUCGAGGGUUUCCAAUUGGGGAGCGAGCCCACCGCCCGUCUGCGGAACAACGUCGCCUCCAAACUGGCGAGGGUCAAGGCCUUCCUAGGAUUCAUGGCGAAGGGCCACGCGGAACUAGAAACCUUGUCCUUCCUCAACCAACCGGCGCGCAUCUGAACCUGGCCUGCCCUGAUAGGCCAAACGGGCAUGGCCGAGCCCACGAGGCAGCACUACCUGAAGAACGUCGCGCAGUUCCUAGAUUAUCUCUCUGAAACCCCGCCGGCCUCCUGCCGCGUCUCCAGUACCACCCUGGUGCUGGUUCGCAGGGAGCUUCGAGCUCUCAUUCACUGCAUACGCCGCCGCAUCGUGGUACACGAGGUAAGAAUUAAGCAGGCCAAAGAAGGCAGACUCAUCUCCAAAGCCACCCUACUACGCUGUCACCGGACGGCUGGGAGAAAAAUACCUGCCCUUCUAGGUGAGUGUUCGGUCCCUUCUCUCCGUUUUUCCCUCUUCUGCUCCGGGGCACCAGCGGCUGCGAGCCACGUCAUCGUUUGACCGAGAGCCGCUGGUGCCCCGGAGCAGAGAUUAUCUUUUUGCCUUGGGGCACCAGCGGCUAUCGCUAAGUUUAAACCGUUGGUGGUGUAACAAGGUUUGUUGAAAAGUCUAACCCCUAACUUCCUUCCGUCAGACGGCCUCGAGUCCAGCCCAGACACCAGGCAGCAGUGGCGCUUCUAUGGCUACCUGACCGGCUACCUGACCUGCAUCAGGGGCUAUCGCUGUGGGGUCUUCCAGAACCUGAUCAUCCAGGAGCUCGAAGAGGCCUCCAGGAGCCCGGACGAGUCCGCCUAUGUCAUUAACAUCACCACGCAUAAGACAAACCGAGCCUUCGGCACGGCCCAGUUGUCUUUCAACAAGGAAAAAUACAGCUGGUUCCGGAGGUUCUUGCAGCUGCGGGCUAGCCUCCCCGGGGGGAGCCAGGCCUCCUAUUUUUUUUUUACUUCCAGACCCAGUCCCUGUCGAACCCUGAACAAAUAUUUUCAAUCUGCGUGGACCAGCAUGGGGCUUCCCUGCAAGCCCACCUUCACUGACGUCCGAACUGCCAUUGCGACCCACGCAAAGAAUUCACAUUCUUCCGAGGAUCACAGGAAGGUGGCGCAAUUCAUGUGCCACGAAACCUCAACCUCAGAUAAGUUCUACGCGCUUCACCUCGGCCCUCUCCAAGCACGUGAGCGCCGCAGACUCUUCGAGAGGGCCUUGGUGGAGG